AGGUUGGGUGCUGAUUGACCGGAGCGGCCGUCACUUUGGUACAAUCCUCAAUUACCUGCGGGAUGGGUCUGUGCCACUGCCGGAGAGUACGAGAGAACUGGGGGAGCUGCUGGGCGAAGCACGCUACUACCUGGUGCAGGGCCUGAUUGAGGACUGCCAGCUGGCGCUGCAGCAAAAAAGGGAGACGCUGUCCCCGCUGUGCCUCAUCCCCAUGGUGACAUCUCCCCGGGAGGAGCAGCAGCUCCUGGCCAGCACCUCCAAGCCCGUGGUGAAGCUCCUGCACAACCGCAGUAACAACAAGUACUCCUACACCAGGAACUGGCAGAGUCCUCCCCCUUGAGGUCAGUACUGUUGUGAGCUCCAUUUUACAGAUGAGGAGGUCGGGACACCAAGAGGUGAAGUAACUUGCCUAGUGUCACCCAGUUAAAAAAUGGGGACAC
rnacentral:sRNA from 1 species